rnacentral:sRNA from 1 species
UAUUGAGUGGGAUGUUCCGGCCGAUAC